UACGUAGGGUGCAAGCGUUGUCCGGAAUCAUUGGGCGUAAAGAGCUCGUAGGCGGUCUGUCGCGUCUGCUGUGAAAACCUGGGGCUUAACCCUGGGCUUGCAGUCGAUACGGGCAGGCUAGAGUUCGGCAGGGGAGACUGGAAUUCCUGGUGUAGCGGUGAAAUGCGCAGAUAUCAGGAGGAACACCGGGUGGCGAAGGCGGGGUCUCUGGGCCGAUACUGACACUGAGGAGCGAAAGCGUGGGGGAGCGAACAGGG
rnacentral:rRNA from 1 species